CCCUACGGGGUGCAGCAGGCAGCGUAUGCUAAGGCAUUGAGGGAUCCGGCGACAAGUCUGGCCUCAGCUGCUCUUGGCACGACAAGCAGGUCUGCACAAGAAGGCCUUCAGGCUCAAGUCCAUGGUGCCGAGUCCACCGGAUACCAGAACUGGGGAGCAAGUCUUGGCACAGCCAAGGGGCUUACCCAGUCAAACGCAAGCAUGGGAACAACAAUCAUGCGCGCAAUGUUGAUGCCCGGCGGAAUUGGGAAUAUGGUCCUUGGAAAAGUGAUUGACGCCAACUCAAACCCUCGGAAGUACCUGGAGGAUGAACUCAAAAAAGCACUGUCGGCUGAUACCGGCUCUAAGCCUGGCGGGGGGGC
rnacentral:rRNA from 1 species